UACGGGGGGAGCAAGCGUUGUUCGGAUUUACUGGGCGUAAAGGGCGCGUAGGCGGUCAGCACAAGUCAGUUGUGAAAUCUCCGGGCUUAACUCGGAAAGGUCAACUGAUACUGUGCGACUAGAGUGCAGAAGGGGCAACUGGAAUUCUUGGUGUAGCGGUGAAAUGCGUAGAUAUCAAGAGGAACACCUGCGGCGAAGGCGGGUUGCUGGGCCGACACUGACGCUGAUGCGCGAAAGCCAGGGGAGCGAACGGG
rnacentral:rRNA from 1 species